CAGCCGCCGCGGUAAUACGGAGGUGGCAAGCGUUGUUCGGAAUUAUUGGGCGUAAAGGGCGCGUAGGCGGCUUUGCAAGUCAGAUGUGAAAUCCCCGGGCUUAACUCGGGAAUUGCAUCUGAAACUGCUUUGCUUGAGUUCUGGAGGGGGUAGUGGAAUUCCCAGUGUAGCGGUGAAAUGCGUAGAUAUUGGGAGGAACACCUGCGGCGAAGGCGGCUACCUGGACAGUAACUGACGCUGAUGCGCGAAAGCUAGGGGAGCGAACGGGAUUAGAUACCCCCGUAGUCCUAGCCGUAAACGAUGGGCACUUGGUGUUGGGGGUAUUGAGUCCCUCGGUGCCGGAGUUAACACGUUAAGUGCCCCGCCUGGGGAGUACGGUCGCAAGACUGAAACUCAAAGGAAUUGACGGGGGCCCGCACAAGCGGUGGAGCAUGUGGUUCAAUUCGACGCAACGCGAAGAACCUUACCGGGGCUCGAACGGUAACUGCUACCCUUGGAAACAGGGGAUUCUCUUCGGAGACGGUUAUCGAGGUGCUGCAUGGCUGUCGUCAGCUCGUGUCGUGAGAUGUUGGGUUAAGUCCCGCAACGAGCGCAACCCUUGCCCUUAGUUGCCAUCAGGCUAUGCUGGGCACCCUAAGGGAACUGUCGGCGAAAAGCCGGGAGGAAGGUGGGGAUGACGUCAAGUCCUCAUGGCCCUUACGUCCCGGGCUACACACGUGCUACAAUGGUCGGUACAAAGGGUCGCCAACCCGCGAGGGGGAGCUAAUCCCAAAAAGCCGAUCUCAGUUCGGAUUGCAGUCUGCAACUCGACUGCAU
rnacentral:rRNA from 1 species